GUCAUUCUGAAGGCAUGCAAAUCAUCAUGGGAGUUGUAGUUCCACAACAUGUAGGGAUCUACCUUUUGGGCACCCCUGGAAUAGACUAAUCCUGCUUUUCUACAGGACACUUGGAAUAAAAUACAGAAUAAGUAGACAUGCUAUAAUGCAAUAGGGUGCCAUGCAAUAUAAGUAUUCUAAAGCACUCCUGGAAUGUAAAGAAUAGCUUGAGAAAAUGACAUAGC